CCACUCUCAGGGUCACACCUGGAGAGUUUCCAGUACUCUACCAGUCUCGGCUACAGGAGGGAGAGUCAAGCAGAGGCCUACCCAUUUCAUACCUAGCUUGGGCAAUGGCUAGCGAGUGGAAGGCAAACUGCUACAAGG
rnacentral:snoRNA from 2 species